GACGAACGCUGGCGGCGUGCUUAACACAUGCAAGUCGAACGAUGAUGCUGGAGCUUGCUCCAGUUGAUUAGUGGCGAACGGGUGAGUAACACGUGAGCAAUCUGCCCUUGACUCUGGAAUAACUGCGGGAAACUGUAGCUAAUACCGGAUACUUUCACCGGGGGGCAUCCUCUGGGGAUGAAAGAAUUUCGGUCAAGGAUGAGCUCGCGGCCUAUCAGCUUGUUGGUGAGGUAACGGCUCACCAAGGCGACGACGGGUAACCGGCCUGAGAGGGGGACCGGUCACACUGGGACUGAGACACGGCCCAGACUCCUACGGGAGGCAGCAGUGGGGAAUAUUGCACAAUGGGCGCAAGCCUGAUGCAGCAACGCCGCGUGAGGGAUGAAGGCCUUCGGGUUGUAAACCUCUUUUAGCAGGGAAGAAGCGAAAGUGACGGUACCUGCAGAAAAAGCACCGGCUAACUACGUGCCAGCAGCCGCCGCCG
rnacentral:rRNA from 1 species